rnacentral:tRNA from 1 species
AUUUAACUAGUUUAUGGAAAAUAUUAAAUUGUGAAUUUAAAGAAAAAAAAGUUUUGUUAAAUU